rnacentral:rRNA from 1 species
GGAAAAGAAACUAACAAGGAUUCCCCUAGUAACGGCGAGUGAAGCGGGAAGAGCUCAAAUUUGAAAUCUGGUAGCCUUCGGUUGCCCGAGUUGUAAUCUAGAGAAGUGUUUUCCGUGCCGGCCCAUGUACAAGUCCCUUGGAACAGGGCGUCAUAGAGGGUGAGAAUCCCGUCCUUGACAUGGACCCCCGGUGCUUUGUGAUACACUUUCAACGAGUCGAGUUGUUUGGGAAUGCAGCUCAAAAUGGGUGGUGAAUUCCAUCUAAAGCUAAAUAUUGGCGAGAGACCGAUAGCGAACAAGUACCGUGAGGGAAAGAUGAAAAGCACUUUGGAAAGAGAGUUAAACAGUACGUGAAAUUGUUGAAAGGGAAACGAUUGAAGUCAGUCAUGCUCUUGGGACUUACCUCCCUUGAGUGGGGUCAACAUCAGUUUUGAUCGAUGGAUAAAGGCACUAGGAAGGUAGCACUCUCGGGUGA